rnacentral:ncRNA from 2 species
GAUACACAUCCCGGCGACGGUUCCCGCACGGGAUCAAAAGGGAACACGGUGGCGCUCUCUCCAAUCGAGUGGAGGGGCGGAAUCCGUGGCUGCCCCCGCAACUGUCAGCGGAUCGCCGAACGUCACGGGCCCCUCAAGGGCCAGGCCACUGCCCGAUGCCGGGCGGGAAGGCCGACGCCAAGCCAUGAUCCGUGAGCCAGGAGACCUGCCGUCGCAGCGCAAUCCGU